CUUUUUUUUUUUUUUUUGCAGACAAGCUUGCCAUGACUGAACCCUGGAAUUGUCAGAGCGCGGAAUUGUGAGGCGCGCACGAGCUGAUCAGGAAGAACGGAACUCGCGUGGCCGGGAUCAUGACACCCGCGGCGCGGAGGGCAGAAACCAACAAGAGAGCCUGACGACCGGCCAGCCCAGCAGUCUCUGAGCGGCCUUAUCGGCAGCAGCCAGGUGGUCACCCUCCCUGUGCAGGGGAGAGCCGGGGUCAGAAACCAGCCUCGUGGGGUUUAUCUCCCCCCACCCCGCCCCAGCUCUUCUUCUGAGGGGAACUUUCAGACUUUCCGCCCGGCGGCGGCGGCAGCAGCGGGGAGCACAUGGCGAAAACAGAAGCGGGGGGGGGAGAGCUCCAGGAGGGAGAACGGAAUGGCUGGCAGACGAGAGGAAGGCGGCGCGGCAGGGCCGGGGGCCAAACGGGAGCCCAGGGAGGCUGCUGGACUGGCCAGGCUUGAGCGGGGUCGGGGCUGAGACUUGCUGUAGCCACUGAGACCGCCAGAAACUUUUCAUCUCACAGAAAAGGGAGAGGGAAAGGGGCGGGGCCGGAGUAUCCCGUGGCGCCCUCUGAAUCUCUUCCAUUGAGUCUCGCCUUUGAGUCAUCUGCGUGCAGCCCAAUGGUAAGUUCUGCGGCUCCUCUAAGUCCCACCCAGCAACCUCGAGGUCGGCUUCCCCGCUGACCUCAUUUGCGUUGUCCCGUCGGUGCUUUGGCUGAAGCCGGUGGCGAAGCGUGGGAGCCGCGAUUGCAUGCCGGCAGCAGCGCCUUCAGACGCUGCAAUCACGAGCGCUCGCGGCAUUCCGGAGGAGUCCUCGUUUCUGUCUGUGGAGCAAAACGUAGAGUCUUGUGUGGCGUCUUAACAAGGGCUAACUUCAUCACCCCCACAAAGAAAUAAGUUGUGGAAAGCGGGAUCAAAAAGCAAGAGGUGCCGCCUGCAACAGCACUUUCAAAGUACUAUCAAAGAACCACCACGAGAAGGAGUCGGGGCUAAAGGUUGCACGCAAUAUAGCAUACUUUCGCCUUUUUCCUUCAGGUUAUAACAAUCACGUGGACCCUGAACCUUCUGCUAUAUGGCCCUCGUGAAGCACUAUCCCUAUAUUCUGUUUGUGGAAGAAGUUGCUUACCUCUCUAGAAACGAAAUCUUUGAGAGGGAAGCGGAUGCAUCGCGACGCUCCUGCACUGCACAUGCGUAUAACAUGUUCACACAAAAUUUUAGUUCACAUUUAGACUCUUCUCUACCCUAACUGGCUAUCUAGUUAAGUAAGUGUUGCUGAAUAUUUUCUGGACAGUUGCAGCUAUUCUGUGCAAGUGGAUCCAUUGUGAGAUUAAAUGUUCUGUUCAACAUACUUUAAAAGUAAAGCCCUCGGAUAAUGCAGCAA